rfam:Arabis alpina cultivar Pajares chromosome 1, whole genome shotgun sequence.
AUGUCUCCUAGAGCUCCUCUGAAUACUUCAUUGGGAAUACAAUUCUUUUUGUAAGAUAAUUAUUACCCACUGAAGUGUUUGGGGGAACUCCCGGACUCAU